UUUCGACGAGAUGCUGACUCUGAGACUGCUAAUGACUCCCAAAAACCGUCUAAGCAUCUCAGGCUUUUGAGAACCAAAUAACCAUUUCUUGACCAUGAAAAAUUAGACCCCUGAAUCAACAGAGAAUGAUACAGCAAUGCUGAACAAGAAGCUUAACUCCUCAAGUGAAGUUGUCGCCUACUUUUAGAAAAGACUAAACACGACGCCGGAAGCGGGACCUAUGAAAAAGUUGUUAGGCAUCAAGAAACCUUCUAAUACCCAUAGACGACCACUCAAUUUGAAACCAGAUGCACACACACGAGGAAAUCAAACCAGAUACUUUCACCACAAUCA
rnacentral:lncRNA from 1 species